rnacentral:rRNA from 1 species
GACGAACGCUGGCGGCGUGCCUAAUACAUGCAAGUCGAACGCUGAAGGCGGAGCUUGCUUCUCCGGAUGAGUUGCGAACGGGUGAGUAACGCGUAGGUAACCUGCCUGGUAGUGUGGGAUAACUAUUGGAAACGAUAGCUAAUACCGCAUAACAGUAGCCGUUGCAUGACAUUUGCUUAAAAGGUUCAAUUGCUUCACUACCAGUUGGACCUGCGUAGUAUUAGCUAGUUGGUGUGGUAACGGCACACUUAGGCGACGAUACGUAGCCGACCGGUGAGGGGGAGCGGCCGGCCUGGGACGGAGACGCGGCACAUAGUCAUUCGGGAGGCAGCAGUAGGGAAUCUUCGGCAAUGGGCGGAAGUCUGAGCGAGAAACGCGGCGUGAGUGAAGAAGGUUUUCGGAUCGGAAAGCUCGGUUGUAAGAGAAGAACGAGUGUGAGAGUGGAAAGUUCACACUGUGACGGUAACUUACCAGAAAGGGACGGCUAACUACGUG